rnacentral:rRNA from 1 species
CCGCACUAGUGAUUUUCCGGUUGAUCCUGCCGGACCCCACUGCUAUCGGGAUAGGACUAAGACAUGCUAGUCGAGCGCCUCCCAGCCACGACGGAGGCGCGGCGCACAGCUCAGUAACACGUGGCUAACCUGCCCUCGGGACGGGAAUACCCCCGGGAAACUGGGGCUAAUUCCCGAUAGGUGAAGAACUCUGGAAUGAGUCUCCGCCCAAAAGACGCUUAAAUCAUGCUUUUAGGCGCCGCCCAAGGAUGGGGCCGCGACCGAUCAGGUAGUUGGUGAGGCAACGGCUCACCAAGCCUUUAACCGGUGCGGGCCGUGGGAGCGGGAGCCCGGAGAUGGGCACUGAGACAAGGGCCCAGGCCCUACGGGGCGCAGCAGUCGCGAAAACUUUGCAAUACACGAAAGUGUGACAGGGCUAUCCCGAGUGCCAUCCGCUGAGGAAGGCUUUUACCCAGUCUAGAAAGCUGGGAGAAUAAGGAGAGGGCAAGUCUGGUGUCAGCCGCCGCGGUAAUACCAGCUCUCCGAGUGGUGUGGAUGUUUAUUGGGCCUAAAGCAUCCGUAGCUGGCCAAGUUAGUCCCCUGUUAAAUCCACCGAAUUAAUCGUUGGAGUGCGGGGGAUACUGCUCGGCUAGGGGACGAGAGAGGCCGACGGUAUUUUCGGGGUAGGGGUGAAAUCCUAUAAUCCCGGGAAGACCACCAGUGGCGAAGGCUGUCGGCUAGAACGCGCCCGACGGUGAGGGAUGAAAGCUGGGGGAGCGAACCGGAUUAGAUACCCGGGUAGUCCCAGCUGUAAACGAUGCAGGCUAGGUGUUUGGGCGGCCACGGGCCGCUCUAGUGCCGCAGGGAAGCUGUUAAGCCUGCCGCCUGGGGAGUACGGCCGCAAGGCUGAAACUUAAAGGAAUUGGCGGGGGAGCACCACAAGGGGUGAAGCUUGCGGUUUAAUUGGAUUCA